UGGGGAAUAUUGGACAAUGGGGGCAACCCUGAUCCAGCAAUGCCGCGUGAGUGAAGAAGGCCCUAGGGUUGUAAAGCUCUUUCGCCCGCGAAGAUGAUGACGGUAGCGGGAGAAGAAGCCCCGGCUAACUCCGUGCCAGCAGCCGCGGUAAUACGGAGGGGGCAAGCGUUAUCCGGAAUGAUUGGGCGUAAAGCGUCUGCAGGUGGCUAUGCAAGUCUGCUGUUAAAGAGUGGAGCUCAACUCCAUAAGGGCAGUGGAAACUGCGUAACUAGAGUACGUUCGGGGUAGAGGGAAUUCCUGGUGUAGCGGUGAAAUGCGUAGAUAUCAGGAAGAACACCGGUGGCGAAAGCGCUCUACUAGGCCGUAACUGACACUGAGAGACGAAAGCUAAGGGAGCGAAUGGGAUUAGAUACCCCCGUAGUCC
rnacentral:rRNA from 1 species